GAAACAUUUCCGGUGUCGUUUUCGUUAUUUGUGGCGCUUUUCUGUAUUUGCGUGCUUUGGGACUUUAUUUUGCAGCCCACGUGUCGUCAAAUUGAUGAAGUUGUUUUUUUGCAUGUGUUUUGUUAAUUUGCAGUGCGUUGAGCUCUCUCGGCCACCGUACAACACUAUAUAAUCAGAAUGGGACUUUUACUUCCGGAACCAGGCUGUUUGAGAUCUACUCUCAAAAACAGAACCAGUCAGUCGAGUUGCCUUCCUGCCGAAUAUGCGCAUUUCAUUUCAGUAAAUCCGUGAGGGCGGGUAGUUAAGGGCUGUUUUCUAUGUUUGAGAAAAGGGCAAAAGGGCAAAAGCAGCUCAGUCUCAUUCUCCGGCUCUCUCUCUGUGCAACAGACUCGUCAGCGACAUCGACUCAAAAUGAAGGUGAACAGCACGUGGCUCAAACGGGUGUUUCCAGGCGUUUGGACUCAUCAAAUGCAUCCCUGGU